UGAAAUACGGAUAUUUAUUUAUUUUUUCAUAAAAAUUCUAAAUUCAAUAAUGUGUUUUAAACAUGUAACAUUUACAUAUAUGCAUUUAUACAAAGAUAUAUGCAAUGUUUAGUGAUUUUAAUACUAAAAUUGGAGCGUAACAGACUUACAAUGAUGCCAAUGCAUGUGACGAUCACAUUUACACUUAAAAAUAAUAUUUACCAAGUAUUGUCAAAUGGUAAAGGUUACGUGUCAGUUACAAUUUUAAUUUGAUGAGGUUAAUGGACACUGUGCGCUUUUCUUUUACUCUAGCUCGAACCGCGAAUCCGAAAGCCGUUGUGUUGCGAUGAAACUAACAUAGGAUGAUUAUUGGUACACGGUAAACGAUAAAUAAUACUGUUACUUUGUAAUGAUGUAUUAUCACACGCUCUGUAUUGUAGUCCCCUGAAGGACGAGAGUAGUCGAUUAUUUACAAAUGAAUGACACAUGGGCUUCACGAUGGCGAUGUUCGGAGACGAGGCCAGGCAGACAAGCAUGGUAGUGAACAGCGGUAAUGGCAAGCGAUCCGUUUUUCAUGAUAGUUCAAAAACUGCAACACUCUAUUCAACGCAUUAACGUGGUUUGAAAUGUUUAGAAAGUUUAAAUUUAUCUACCUUUACUAUUCGGUAUUAAACAACUUUUGCGACGGACAAGAAAUGUAACUAUUUAUUUUAAAUGUUUAAUUUUGACAUUGACUUAUGUAUAGAACAUUAUUACCUUGAAUAGAUUGCUCGAACGCUAAACAGAACGAUUAAUUUUCAAUUUGACCAUAUUUCGCUAUAGCGCUAUAGAAAUAGAAACACAGACUCAGUCGACUCGGAAAUACAAAUUCAU